CCUACGGGAGGCAGCAGUGGGGAAUUUUGGACAAUGGGCGCAAGCCUGAUCCAGCAAUGCCGCGUGAGUGAAGAAGGCCUUCGGGUUGUAAAGCUCUUUUGUCAGGGAAGAAACGGUUGGGGCUAAUAUCCUCGGCUAAUGACGGUACCUGAAGAAUAAGCACCGGCUAACUACGUGCCAGCAGCCGCGGUAAUACGUAGGGUGCAAGCGUUAAUCGGAAUUACUGGGCGUAAAGCGUGCGCAGGCGGUUUUGUAAGUCUGUCGUGAAAGCCCCGGGCUUAACCUGGGAAUUGCGAUGGAGACUGCAAGGCUUGAAUCUGGCAGAGGGGGGUAGAAUUCCACGUGUAGCAGUGAAAUGCGUAGAGAUGUGGAGGAACACCGAUGGCGAAGGCAGCCCCCUGGGUCAAGAUUGACGCUCAUGCACGAAAGCGUGGGGAGCAAACAGGAUUAGAUACCCUGGUAGUCCACGCCCUAAACGAUGUCUACUAGUUGUCGGGUCUUAAUUGACUUGGUAACGCAGCUAACGCGUGAAGUAGACCGCCUGGGGAGUACGGUCGCAAGAUUAAAACUCAAAUGAAAUUGACGG
rnacentral:rRNA from 1 species